rnacentral:misc_RNA from 1 species
GGGCUAUCAGAUGAUAACAUAC